CGUUGGGGACAUCGAGGACAUCGUUGGGCUGUGGUGGGUCUUGGUCCUUUGGGUUGGGGACGUUGGGGACAUCGAAGACAUUGAGGAAGUUGAGGAUGUUGGGGACAUCGGGUCAUGGUGGGUCUUCAUCCUUU
rnacentral:lncRNA from 1 species